CUUUCCUCUUUGUUCAUCCGUUGGCUCCUCCCCUCUCCCUCUUACCCACCAUUGGAUGGCUGGAUCGAAGCUCCUGUGUCUUGCUGUCCUUUACACUUUGCCUAGGUCAGGCAGCCAAAGGCGGCUCGUGCGGGCAGGCCCAUAAGACGGCGUGGCAUAGGCAGGAAGCGUAUGUAACUCUUUAGCGUGAUCAUGCAUCUCG